AUUGCUUUUGGAACAGUACCAUUCUAUGGGCUUAAAAUUUGAAGGAAUGUGAAAACUGAUAGCUGCAAAACUACCAUGGGUUAUUUCUAACAUUUCCUCAAUGCAUUUCCCCACUCCUUGUAUAUCUUAACAAGACAAAGCGGAAGUCAUUAUAACAUUCAAGGUAGGUAAAAAUUCCAAUGAUUCUAUUUGCAGGAUUUCAACAAAGAAAGAAAUUACACAGCUGUACACGUUAACUUAUUCUAGAAAAAAAACUGCAUUCACAGAAACAGAAUUAACUCGCUCAUCUGGUAGACUGACGUCACAAGGAUCGUCAUGUUGACCAAUCCGUUCGAACGAGAUAGGGUAACUGAGUUUUAUAACUUGAUAUGGGAUGAAGUGUCUCCAGUACUCGCCAAACAAGGGAGUGGACAUCGGUUCUCAGACAAGCAGACUGGAUGUGUAUGAGGACUACGUGCUGAUACAUGUUUGUCCAAUGAUACGUGUCACUAUCUCUCUCAGCACUGAAUCUACAACAUACAGCGAAUUUUAUCAUAAAUAACACUCUAAAGAACUUCAUCAUCAUUCGUUACUAUUGCAACCGUGUAGGAAAUCAAUAUGUAAAAUUUCACUAUCGAACUAAAUAAGGUAGACGAGUACCAUUGCUGCAUUGUUUGGCAAUGACUGAAUCAAGCAAUUGUAUAUUACUACAUGAUACAAUGGGAGAUGGAUCUUUGGAUGUGAGAAUGGUUCUCAGAAUGUUGAUGUCUUCCCUUGGUCAGCUGUUUCCCCGAUUUAUCGCCAAUUGAGCACGUCUGAAAUGAAAUGGAACGACGUCUACGCCGUUUACCAAAUCAGCCAGUGACAUUGACUGAUUUAGGCCAGGCGUUAACCAAUAUUUGGGACAACAUCUCUCAAGCAUUUUUGAACACGUUAGUGACAUCAAUGGGGUGCCGUUGUUCAGCAUGCGUGAAUGCAAAUGGUGGUCACACGCGUUAUCAACUUUGUUAAUUCACGUUCUUUGGAGUGUGCUGAAAUUGGCGUUUUUCGACAUUAACAUUAAUGGAUUAUGAGAUAUUGUAACGAAUACAUUUGUUAACAGUAUUACAAAAAAUAAA